ACCAGCAGCCAUAUCUCCCUGCAGCUUACAGCUGGCAGCCCCACUGGAGCUCAGCAGGUGUAAGCCUGGACAGUACCUGGAUGGGAGACCUCCUGGGAAAGCUAAGGUUGCUGCUGGAA
rnacentral:rRNA from 1 species